UUUGAUUCUGGCUCAGGAUGAACGCUAGCUACAGGCUUAACACAUGCAAGUCGAGGGGCAGCGGGAUUGAAGCUUGCUUCAAUUGCCGGCGACCGGCGCACGGGUGAGUAACGCGUAUCCAAUCUUCCGUACACUCAGGGAUAGCCUUUCGAAAGAAAGAUUAAUACCUGAUAGUAUCUUAAGCACACAUGUAAUUAAGAUUAAAGAUUUAUCGGUGUACGAUGGGGAUGCGUUCCAUUAGGUAGUAGGCGGGGUAACGGCCCACCUAGCCAACGAUGGAUAGGGGUUCUGAGAGGAAGGUCCCCCACAUUGGAACUGAGACACGGUCCAAACUCCUACGGGAGGCAGCAGUGAGGAAUAUUGGUCAAUGGACGAGAGUCUGAACCAGCCAAGUAGCGUGAAGGAUGAAGGUCCUACGGAUUGUAAACUUCUUUUAUAAGGGAAUAAACCCUCCCACGUGUGGGAGCUUGUAUGUACCUUAUGAAUAAGCAUCGGCUAACUCCGUGCCAGCAGCCGCGGUAAUACGGAGGAUGCGAGCGUUAUCCGGAUUUAUUGGGUUUAAAGGGAGCGCAGACGGGUCGUUAAGUCAGCUGUGAAAGUUUGGGGCUCAACCUUAAAAUUGCAGUUGAUACUGGCGUCCUUGAGUGCGGUUGAGGUGUGCGGAAUUCGUGGUGUAGCGGUGAAAUGCUUAGAUAUCACGAAGAACUCCGAUUGCGAAGGCAGCACACUAAUCCGUAACUGACGUUCAUGCUCGAAAGUGUGGGUAUCAAACAGGAUUAGAUACCCUGGUAGUCCACACGGUAAACGAUGGAUACUCGCUGUUGGCGAUAUACUGUCAGCGGCUUAGCGAAAGCGUUAAGUAUCCCACCUGGGGAGUACGCCGGCAACG
rnacentral:rRNA from 1 species